GGACAGCCGCCGAAAGAGCACGGUGAUCAAAAGGCUUUCGUUCGACCUUUGAUGCCGGCGGUCCUGCGGGUCCUCAUCGACCCCUUCGAAGCCUGCGGGGAUGACGAAGCCACUGAGCUCUGCUCUACCCUCCCCGCCUUCCUGCGGGAGCCUCCAUACUCUCCCUGCGACCUGAGCGUUCAGCGAGAGGCUCAGUCUUACCCGUCGACCUGGGCGAGUCCUCGGAACAUGCCCUCCCCGCCAGGGCAGUGCUGCUGGCCCUGGAAUCGGCCCGCCUCCGUGCUGAAGUACCUCACAGUUCUGUCGGCGCAACCCACCAAGAUCUGCGGGCAAAGGAGAGCAGGAUGGUGAUCAAAACGAGGCUCCUUCCCUUGUCCCCCAGCUCGGGACCGAACAGCUACCGCUCACCUGAGUCUCGCCGCCCGCGCCCCAGCACAGGGCGCUCACCGCCUCCUCGCGUCGCGGCUGUCCCGCCGCCGUGAAGUUCGUUGCCUGUUUGCGCUGAAGGUUUACCCCUGCGGGGGGGCGAGUGUCAGUCGCGCCGCGGUCGCGAGCGGAGGAUACCCCCCAGUUCCCGACGCCGGGCUCAGCCACCCACCUUUCAGGAUCCCGGUCUCGGUGCCCACCCACACAUGGUUCCAGCGUGCCCCUGCGGCCGCCAUAACGGAGCCCGGCAGCCCACGGCUCGUACUUCCGGCGCAGUGUGCGCGUCACCAGCGCGCGCCGAGUCCCAUCGGGAAGAACGCCUUCUCCGGGAGUUUAAGGAGCGGGAAGGAGGGAACCUGGUUGGUUCCGCGGGAAGAAUUUGCGACUUUUGGUUUCGGGGUCGUGAGUUUAAGCCCUUACCUUGGGUGUAGAGAUCACUCAAAUAAAAACUAAACAACAACAAGAAGACAAACCGGAAGAAUAAAGAUCCCCCAACUGCGUUUUACUUUUGAAGACAAAAUCUGGAGAUACUUGUGAUCUGAAGAGUAACUUGACAGUGUUGCACUUGGAGUAGAAGACAUCCUAACCGGACCACGCCUAGUGGAGCCAGGCCUUGUCCGUCUCCCUGCUCCAAAGCAUCAUGUACUCUUGUUUUCUGUACAAGGCAAGAAAGAAGAGCGCACUUCAGAAACAAUUCAAAUCACUAAUGAGGCUCAUGGCUUCAACCUCGAGUAUAAAAGACAGAAAAGGAAGAAAGAUGGGGAAAUUGAAACCGACGGUCUUAAAACAAAUCUGGAAAGUGAAGGUAGGGCCGUCGUUUUUCUUUCCUCAUUUUGAGGUUUGGUGAUGGUAAAAAUCAGCUCCAACUGAGAGUAAAAAUCUGCAAAAUUAAAACAGUAUUCUCCCAGGGACAAACUGCUACUUUAAAAUGUCGUAAGAGCCCCUUCUUUGAGUGACUACUCUUUCCUUACAGAGAAGUUUUUGUUCUCUGAAAUUAGAAAACCAGAAACUUUGAAAUUUUAUCGGUAAGAAUAAAAACAUUCCCCUCUCUC